GGAGAGGUGGCAGAGUGGUAAUGCAGCAGCCUGCUAAGCUGUCAUCCUUUUUGGAUGCCUGGGUUCGAAUCCCAGUCUCUCCG
rnacentral:tRNA from 6 species